AAAUCUCAGGGGUCUCAGCUGGCUGCCCGAUCAAAUUCAAGCGGCUGUGGCUUUUCGUUGGGCCCCUGGAUGCCUUCCAAAAAAUAAAAAGAAAAAAAAUGGGAAAAAAAUCGUUUAUUGGAGAGGAGAAAAUUUACUGCGGUCACUGGCUUUUUGACAUGCCGCAAACUAUUUUCAAAUGUGCUCGUAGACGGAGUCGCAUUGCUAUUUCCUACAGAGUAUUCAUUUCGCUUUGGUCAGCGCAUUGGGAGUUUGCUUUUUUGUUAUUUUUAGCGCCGGCUAGAGUGAAGUGUGCCCGGUCCGUGGAGCAUCCUUCAACGUUUCUUAUAUGACGAUGGAGAUGAUGAUGUUGUCGGUUUGUUAGAGUGCGGCUGCUCGGGGGCCAGUUGAAAACUAAUAAAACGUCAAAGCAAUUUUGACAACAUGCAACUUGGAGAUCUUAAGAAGGCACAGAAACACACAAAAACCCACACAAAUCUACGGUUUGUGUUUGGAACAGCCUGUGAAUACUGCUCUCCGCAAAGCGAAAAGUUACUUCGUAAGUUUUUCAUCUUUUGCCAGUUUUUCUUUUCGCAAUGCUGCCUUCAUUUCGCCAUAUUCCAUAUUUCUCCUGGCCCUUGUUUGGCCAGGGGCCACUGUCUGGAGGGAAUCCAGAGAGAGCAAUGCGACUUGGAACGGGCUUAAAGCUAUCUAGCUGGCAUAUCAGCCAUAAAACCGAGCAUUAAAGCCGUGUGAAAAUUGCGGCUCAAGUGCUAGACUUUGGGAAACAAGAUACAUACAUAUGUAUAUGCUAGAUUAAAGGGUCGAGGAGGUGUUCUGGUGGUGAUAAGCGUUCUUUGUUUAUAGAGUUGUCAAGUGCUCAUAAAAAUCGAGAUACUCUGUGACCCUACGGCUACGACUACCUGCCGGGCGGAAUUGGACACGCCCGUUUUCGGCUAACAUGGGUUAAGUGCGGCGUCAUUAGCACACACACCCGCACAGUGGGACAAGAGCCGAGGAUGGAGCGGGAUUUGCGAUAUGCGAUUUGCCGGAACCACAGCGUGUUGCCGACACAUAAACAAUACACUCGGCUACAAGGUUGCGCGACAGUCAAACACAAACAGUUUUAUGGCCGAUAGUUGGAGGCUCUUCACACUCCGCAUCGCAUCUCACUUUGAAUGGAAAUGACUCAGUCCGACUUGACCGUACACUUAGAGAAACAAGCCCUUAACUUGUAUCCUUUUUAUUGUUCUUUAUGAAGUUAAACAUAAAAGUCAGGCAUUAAAGAAACCUAAUUAUCACAA